ACAGCUCAGCAGCCUCGACUCGAGCUCUCGUCUAUUUCUGUCCCCAGCGCAUCAUCAUGUGUUUGACCCACUGCUGCCUGAGUGAUUGGCAAUUUCAGCUGUCUGUCCACAUCAGGAGCUGCUAAAAGAUGGCGAGUGAAGCGGUGACGGGUGAAGAAUAACUUGCAGGGAUACACUGGACAUAAGGAGAACUCAAGAAAUACUUGUGAUUACUGAUGAUGACAGAGAUAAGGAAAUGCAGGAGAUAAGGACAUCAAAAAAAAAAAACAAGUACGUCUCUAGACCAUUGAAGGGUGACCGAACACACAGGGAACUGAAGAUCGAUACAGUCAAGACUCAAACCUGUGUGCCAUGAUAUACUUAUGAAAAUGACUGGACUACUGCUAUACCAAGAAUCCAGUAAAGAUCACUGUUAGAACACAUCGGGCAAUCCUAAAAGAGGUGAGGACAAACCCAAGGAAAAAAGUAUGUGAACAACUGAGAAAAGUUUAACCUUUUAGCAAAAAAAAAAGGGCAUUGUAAAACUUCUUCCAACGAUGAAAAAAGGUGGAAGGACCAUCAUGGUUUUGCUUCUUCAGGGCCUGGACAUUUUGCAAUCAUCAAAAGAACAAUUGAUUCAAAAGUACACCGAGAAAUUUUGAAGAAUUUCAGGGCAGCAGUUAAUGAUUUCAAGUUAAGCAACACAAGACAGUGUCCCAAAGCACAAAAGUAAAUCAAAUAAAGGAUGAAAAAAUAAGAAAAAA